rnacentral:rRNA from 1 species
AUCCUUCGGGUGAUUUAGUAAGAGGACAGCGGCGGACGGGUGAGUAACGCGUGGGUAACCUGCCCUAUACACAGGGAUAGCCUCGGGAAACCGGGAUUAAUACCUGAUAAAACUCUAGUAUGGCAUCAUACAGGAGUCAAAACUUUAGUGGUAUAGGAUGGACCCGCGUCUGAUUAGCUAGUUGGUAAGGUAAAGGCUUACCAAGGCGACGAUCAGUAGCCGACCUGAGAGGGUGAUCGGCCACACUGGAACUGAGACACGGUCCAGACUCCUACGGGAGGCAGCAGUGGGGAAUAUUGCACAAUGGGCGAAAGCCUGAUGCAGCAACGCCGCGUGAGCGAUGAAGGCCUUCGGGACGUAAAGCUCUGUCCUAAGGGAAGAAUAAUGACGGUACCUUAGGAGGAAGCCCCGGCUAACUACGUGCCAGCAGCCGCGGUAAUACGUAGGGGGCGAGCGUUAUCCGGAAUCAUUG